rnacentral:rRNA from 1 species
UAAACGAUGUCGACUUGGAGGCUGUUCCCUGAGGAGUGGCUUCCGGAGCUAACGCGUUAAGUCGACCGCUGGGGAGUACGGCCGCAAGGUUAAAACUCAAAUGAAUUGACGGGGGCCCGCACAAGCGGUGGAGCAUGUGGUUUAAUUCGAUGCAACGCGAAGAACCUUACCUACUCUUGACAUCCAGAGAAUUUAGCAGAGAUGCUUUAGUGCCUUCGGGAACUCUGAGACAGGUGCUGCAUGGCUGUCGUCAGCUCGUGUCGUGAAAUGUUGGGUUAAGUCCCGCAACGAGCGCAACCCUUAUCCUUUGUUGCCAGCGCGUAAUGGCGGGAACUCAAAGGAGACUGCCGGUGAUAAACCGGAGGAAGGUGGGGAUGACGUCAAGUCAUCAUGGCCCUUACGAGUAGGGCUACACACGUGCUACAAUGGCGCAUACAAAGAGAAGCGACCUCGCGAGAGCAAGCGGACCUCAUAAAGUGCGUCGUAGUCCGGAUUGGAGUCUGCAACUCGACUCCAUGAAGUCGGAAUCGCUAGUAAUCGUAAAUCAGAAUGUUACGGUGAAUACGUUCCCGGGCCUUGUACACACCGCCCGUCACACCAUGGGAGUGGGUUGCAAAAGAAGUAGAUAGCUUAACCUUCGGGAGGGCGUUUACCACUUUGUGAUUCAUGACUGGGGUGAAGUCGUAACAAGGUAACCAAGGGCGAAUUCCAG